GAUGAACGCUGGCGAGAUGCCUUACACAUGCAAGUCGUACGAGAAUUUUGAAUUCAAGUGGCGGACGGGUGAGUAACACGUAAGAAUUUACCUUUAGGAGGGGGAUAACAACUGGAAACGGUUGCUAAUACCCCAUAUGCUUUCGAGUGAAAUGGAUUUUCUGCCUAAAGAGACGCUUGCGGCUGAUUAGCUUGUUGGUGAGGUAAUGGCUUACCAAGGCGACGAUCAGUAUCUGGUUUGAGAGGAUGAUCAGACACACUGGAACUGAGACACGGUCCAGACUUCUACGGGAGGCAGAAGUGGGGAAUCUUCCGCAAUGGGCGAAAGCCUGACGGAGCAAAUCUCGCGUGAGGGAUGACGGCCUAUGGGUUGUAAACCUCUUUGUUCAGGAAGGAAUCAAAUGACGUGUACCUGAAGAAUAAGCAU
rnacentral:rRNA from 1 species